rnacentral:tRNA from 1 species
GCAGUCGUGGCCGAGGGGUUAGAGCGGUGGACUAGAAAUCCAUUGGGGUCUCUCCGCACAGGUUCGAAUCCUGUCGACUGCG